UAGGGAAUCUUCCACAAAUGGGCGCAAGCCUGAUGGAGCAACACCGCGUGAGUGAAGAAGGGUUUCGGCUCGUAAAGCUCUGUUGUUAAAGAAGAACACGUAUGAGAGUAACUGUUCAUACGUUGACGGUAUUUAACCAGAAAGUCACGGCUAACUACGUGCCAG
rnacentral:rRNA from 1 species